GUGGGGAAUCUUAGACAAUGGGGGAAACCCUGAUCUAGCCAUGCCGCGUGAGCGAUGAAGGCCUUAGGGUUGUAAAGCUCUUUCAGCUGGGAAGAUAAUGACGGUACCCACAGAAGAAGCCCCGGCUAACUCCGUGCCAGCAGCCGCGGUAAUACGGAGGGGGCUAGCGUUGUUCGGAAUUACUGGGCGUAAAGCGCACGUAGGCGGAUCGGAAAGUUGGGGGUGAAAUCCCAGGGCUCAACCCUGGAACUGCCUUCAAAACUAUCGGUCUGGAGUCCGAGAGAGGUGAGUGGAAUUCCGAGUGUAGAGGUGAAAUUCGUAGAUAUUCGGAGGAACACCAGUGGCGAAGGCGGCUCACUGGCUCGGUACUGACGCUGAGGUGCGAAAGCGUGGGGAGCAAACAGGAUUAGAAACCCUUGUAGUCC
rnacentral:rRNA from 1 species